UCGGAUCCCAAAAUCCAGGUCGCGGAAUGUUACAGGGUCCUUGGGUUGCUUGCUUAUAAAAACUAUAGAACUUGAGCAUCAUUUCAUUCGUUGGCUGGAAUGAACCUAUUUUGGGCAGGCUGUGGAACAGUCUGACAGCUGAC